GAAAUGCGAUACGUAAUGUGAAUUGCAGAAUUCCGUGAAUCAUCGAAUCUUUGAACGCACCUUGCACCCCUUGGUAUUCCGAGGGGCAUGCCUGUUUGAGUGUCAUUGAAUUCUCAACUUGGUCCGAGUUUGCUCUCGGAGCUCAAGCUUGGAUUUGGAGUGUGCUGGUCCCUUGCGGGGGGUCGGCUCCUCUGAAAAGCAUUAGCGACGAAAUCCUUUUCAAGGGUUGGCCCCAAAUGCGCUGUGGCAUUGAUAACAAUUGUCUAUGUCUCACUGCGGGGGGAGGAUGACCCAAGGGCGUUCUCGCUUACAAUGGUCCUCGUCGUGGGGACAAAGGCUCACCUUGACAAUUACCUCAAAUCAGGUAGGACUACCCGCUGAACUUAA
rnacentral:rRNA from 1 species